CCUACGGGUGGCAGCAGUGGGGAAUAUUGGACAAUGGGCGAAAGCCUGAUCCAGCCAUGCCGCAUGUGUGAAGAAGGCCUUCGGGUUGUAAAGCACUUUCAGUGGGGAAGAAAGCCUUGGGGCUAAUACCCUCGAGGAAGGACAUCACCCACAGAAGAAGCACCGGCUAACUCCGUGCCAGCAGCCGCGGUAAUACGGAGGGUGCGAGCGUUAAUCGGAAUUACUGGGCGUAAAGCGCGCGUAGGCGGUCUGAUAAGCCGGUUGUGAAAGCCCCGGGCUCAACCUGGGAACGGCAUCCGGAACUGUCAGGCUAGAGUGCAGGAGAGGAAGGUAGAAUUCCCGGUGUAGCGGUGAAAUGCGUAGAGAUCGGGAGGAAUACCAGUGGCGAAGGCGGCCUUCUGGACUGACACUGACGCUGAGGUGCGAAAGCGUGGGUAGCAAACAGGACUAGAUACCCUUGUAGUC
rnacentral:rRNA from 1 species